UAUAUUUCGAACACACAUGUAUUAAAUCCCCCAUCCUUGGGAAGGAAAAUGAUUACCAAGUAUAUACAGAAUGUAAACACGAAAUAGUUGUCUAACUAUUUCCAAAAACUUUAAACCAUAAAACUAAGGCACGGCCGUCCGUCUAAUAGAGUUAGUACGUGUAGGUCGUCGCACAGCUGCUUGAGCAGGAGAUAUACUUGGUAGAGACGCACCACUGUGAGUUCAUGACCCCCUUUUCUCUUAACUUUGUGAGUUCAUGCUCCCCCUUUUCUCUUAACUGUUUUCAGUUUUAUAACUUCGGGGGUGAAAUACAUGUUACAGAUAUUUUUAUGUUUAACAAAUGGUAUGAUAAUAAAAAGCACACUUGGUGAGAACGAGUACCAAGUGUGUAGCGAUAUAAGAAUACAAGAAGCGCACUUGGUGAGAACGAGUACCAAGUGUGUUGUGA
rnacentral:lncRNA from 1 species